rnacentral:rRNA from 1 species
UUACCACGGUAGGAUUCAUGACUGGGGUGAAGUCGUAACAAGGUAGCCGUAUCGGAAGGUGCGGCUGGAUCACCUCCUUUC